CAGGAUUAUGAGAAAAAGCAAUAAAGGAAGACAUCAAUUCUCAAGCGAAUAAUUUCUUCUAUAGAGCCUGCUAAACAACACCAACGGUCCCUAUGAUGAAAAAUAAACCCCCCUUCAAAUAUAUUUAUAAAAUUUGUUUGAUCACAAUGUGGUCCAAACCAGUAGUCACUAUAUGUGAUUUUCCAUGUCUUUGCUUUCAUCCAAUAAGUGUUGAGUCAUUUUCUACUCACAAAAUCUACCUGAUGCCAUUUCCAAAUCCUUUAAAAAGAGGUGUUCGGAGGAGCAUCUUAUACUACCUGUAGAUACAUCCUUAGACAUAAAGAAUCCUUUAGUCCAUGAAAUCAGAUUUACUUUUGGAUGAAACCUUGUUUGCUGCUCUGUUCACACUGCUGUCUCUGACUAAUCUUACUCCAUGUAUGCUUCAAAUGAGCCACAGAAAGAGCUUUUAGAUCAAAGCAGUAGUGUGAAUUGUCAAAAAGACAUCAGGUUCCGCAAGAAAGCAAGACGGAGCUUAGACUCUCUGUAAUGAGGAACAGUAUUUCUGCAAGAUGUAAAGCUGUCUUCUGCUAGGAAGAUUCCAGAGUUAGAAUCAUGGAAAGCCUGGUUAAAACAAAGCUAAAUAAUGUUGUAUGGAGGUAUGUGUCUAUAACUCUAAGAGAAGACAAAGUAUUAUUACACAGUAAUCUGUUUGACUAUGGAAUUCUGUUCUAGUAGAACACCUACUAACAGGCAAUGGAACUAGGGUUUGGGGGGAUACAGCUUAAGUAUCAACAUUUGCGUUCAAAUAUAAAUACAAAAAUCAAUUCAAUAAUACAUACAAAGCCUUUGGGUCUUCUUUAUUGCUGUUCUCCCCACCAGGGAGUUGAAGUUGAUUGGAGGAGCAGCUAUUAGUAGGAAACUUGUAAUAAUUAAUAAUAAAUAGGUGGUACUGAUAUCAGAGAGAAGCCAUAAACCCUGGUUCUCCAAGUGUAAUCUGUAAACAACCCGUAUCAAAAUCAUCUGAGUUUCUUUACAAAGCUCCAGAUUCCUGAGACUCUCUGUCGUUUUACUGAAUAAGAAUCUCUGAAGAUGGACCACAGGAGGGUGCAUUUUAAAUAGACUCACCAUGAUGCUUUUAUGUAUUUUAGAAUAAUUUUUUUAGAAUAAUUUUAGAAUAAUUUUUAUGUACUUUAGAAUCAUUUUUAGAAUAAUUUUGAAUUUUAGAAUAAUUUAAUUAGAUUUUUCAUUUAUCUUAGGAAAUGACAAGGCAUUUAGAUUCAAAACAUUUUGGAGACCACCUGGCAUCCACCAUGCCCUGGGAUUUAGGCAAUAACGUCCUAGUCAAAAAGAAAAAAACUUUUGUAAAGAUUGCUUCAGCACCAGUAUAUAUAAGUUUCUCCAAUAUCUCUCCAAAACUUCCUAUCAUGUUAUAUCCAAAGAGGUUUGUCAUUAC
rnacentral:lncRNA from 1 species